UAGUCCACACCGUAAACGAUGAAUGCUAGUUGUUGGCAGGCAUGCCUGUCGGUGACGCAGCUAACGCAUUAAGCAUUCCGCCUGGGGAGUACGGCCGCAAGGUUAAAACUCAAAGAAAUUGACGGGGGCCCGCACAAGCGGUGGAGCAUGUGGUUUAAUUCGAAGCAACGCGCAGAACCUUACCCGCGUUUGACAUGCCCUGUUUGAUUUUCAGAGAUGAAUUUCUUCAUUUAGUUGGCAGGUGCACAGGUGCUGCAUGGCUGUCGUCAGCUCGUGUCAUGAGAUGUUGGGUUAAGUCCCGCAACGAGCGCAACCCUUAUUUUUAGUUGCCAUCAUUAAGUUGGGUACUUUAAAAAGACUGCCAGUGAUAAGCUGGAGGAAGGUGAGGAUGACGUCAAGUCAGCAUGCCCCUUAUGUUCUGGGCUACACACGUGCUACAAUGGUUGUGACAAAGAGUUGCGAAUUUGCAAAAAUCAGCUAAUCUAUAAACA
rnacentral:rRNA from 1 species